UACAGAGGUCCCAAGCGUUACUGAGAAUCACUGGGUUUAAAGGGUGCGUAGGUGGUCCGUUAAGUUCGUUGUGAAAUCCCUGGGCUCAACCCAGGAACUGCUUCGAAUACUGGCGGACUUGAGGCCGGUAAGGGUCACUGGAACUGACGGUGGAGCGGUGAAAUGCGUAGAUAUCGUCAGGAACGCCGGUGGUGAAGACGGGUGACUUGGCCGGUUCUGACACUGAGGCACGAAAGCGUGGGGAGCGAACGGG
rnacentral:rRNA from 1 species